AGCAGGCUGAGAUUAACAGCUCAGUUUCUCCCCUGGCUUAGUUUAUUGUCCUGUUUCAGCACUGCUCAGUUAGCAUUACACAUUGCUCACACAGGGAGCAGAACAUGGCAGAUAAGAGAUUUUGAACAGCAAGAACUGGAAGACUGUCCUCGUCAGCCAUUCCCAUUCACUCCUGCUGCCUUUGCCAGUGCUGUGAGAGAAAAAGGAACAGUUCAGAAGAGCUGACUUCCUCACACAAUCACACGAUCAGAUCAGUGUUAUAGAAGAUGAGAUCAAAUCCCUUCAAGAGGAAGAUGAAUAUCAGCCAAGCUUUCUUACAGUCAAACAGGGUUCUGUGGGAAGGUGCUGUAUGAGCGGACAUCUGGUAUGCCACAUCUGGGCUGCUUCAUCAUGUCCAUCGUCUUACGGUUCAGCUCUCCGGUCACCUCCAGCCCAAAGAACGCCUGCAUUUCUCGGAUUUUGUCAGCCAUGUGGUGCAUUACACUUCAUACAGAUGCUGCAGAACAGCCAUCACACAGCGACUUCUUUCUCACUGUCUUUUGAAGCAAAAGUCCCGUGUGUUGACUUAGUGCCUAAAUGUAAGUUCAAAAGGAGAAAACUGACCUAAAAAUAAUCUGCUUGGUUUUGAUCAUGAGAAAAAGAAGGUUAAAAAAGCCCACUUUUCCAGCAAAAGCAAAUUUAUUGUAAAGUUCAAAAAACAACCCUGGCACCACAGCAGCUGAGCUCUGCAGUCUGUGAGGUGGCCUGGGGAGAGGGCAUGGCCUCCUUCCAAAGGCAACUGGAGCUGAACUGAUGGGCUGGAGAAGGUUGCACUGCAUGCCUGACAGAGGUCACAGCCCUGAACCACUGAGCCAAGGCACCGAUGUUUGUGUCUGAGGCUGUGGUGGGAUGAGGGCGGCUCUGCCAAGAGCUCACCGCUGUUGUAAAGGUGUGCUCCUGCUCCUCCCAUCCUGGCUAGCAUUCUUGCUUUUUCCCCGUGCCCUCUAGUAUCAAAUGAACCCUUGGGGCAACUGGUUCAAAGGGCUGAAGCCACAAAAAAGUACCCCACAAAAAUGAAUUGUAAUUGUUUUCUUUUGGUUCCCUAUGGCAUGAGCAGAGCACCAGUACAAAGGGGGGGUGGGACAGCACAGAUGGGAAUGGGGACGCAGGGAGUCAGCCAGGCGUGAAGAUGGGAUGCUGGACCCUCUCCUUUUGGCAGCAACAAGGUAAACAUUUGUCUCAGUUUGUCGUGGGAGAGCACCCCAAACUGCAUUUGUAGCAUGCAGUGUUUGUAUUUCUGAAAAGAAAUUCAGAUGUGUAGCAUUAACAUUUUAAAUACAAUGUUUGUAUCUCUUUGUACCUAGCAGCAGUUAGCAUAUGGAAGUCGUCCUCUUCGAUUACAGCUGCAUGUUUUGUCAACAUUCUGCUUGCUGCACCCGAGAGAUCUGAGAUGAAGCAGUUAGAUGUAGCAAACCCAAUUGGCAAACCUUUUAGCAAGCCCUCUCUAAUAUUUAACAAACUAUUUUUCUUGCUGACUUUUGCAGAGCUGCCGAUAGGUAGAUUUGCUACAGCUCUCUGUAGCUGUUGUGCUGUUUCCAUGCUUGAGCUGACAUUUUUGGAGAGGCAGUUGAGCGCCAGGGAAGGGCUGGCUGUUGCCUUCCCAGUGCAUUUGGCAGCACAAGUGGGGAAAAUUCACAGUGAGGCAUCCUGCAUGACUGAGGCGUGUGAGCAAGCCUUUGCUUUUCCCCUGCGUGCAGAUCCAGGAAAGGACUUGCCUUCUUUGUGCUGGCCCCAAAGACCUUUGUAGCUUUUAGGGUUCAAAUGAAGAAGAGCUCUUUAGGUACCACAGAAUGUGAGUAGGAACUGUUUUCUGGCUUUAAUCAAAGGCUUAGUAUGCUUGACAAUCACAUGGCCAGUGGACAUGGGGGAAAUACAUCAACAAAGGCACAUCUGUGAUUUAUAUGGGUUGAUCAGAACAGAAGAAAUGACUUCCCAUAGUGUUUUCUGCCCUGCAUGGGUUCUUGAGAUCCCAGAAGCACUUUACUCUUGACAAGGCUGAGCAAGUCAGUGCCUUUUUCAUGCCCUGGCCCUACAGGUAAAACCCAAUGAGACACGGAUCUUGCCCUCUGCCCUGAGAGGCAGCUUCUUUUUGUGAGCUUGGAGGUGGCUGUUGGCCACUGACUGCCCUGGAGAUCACUCAGUGGUGAUGCUUACACAGCAGCAAAGCAGCCAGGAUGAAUUCGGGAACACUGCUCAUUUCUUCCCUCACCCCAUCUGCUCUCAGACUCAUACAUCCCCUAUCACCAGCGCGUGCCUUAAUCAUUGCAUUAAGGGAGUUAUGUGGGUACUUUCCCAGGAAGACCACUGCAGUGGGACUGAGCAUUUGCUGCCACAGAACUGCUUGAUCUCUGACAGCAUAAUUCACAUCAUCUUACGAGGGCUAGCCCAAGUGCCAGGAUUUUAGUAGAUUUGUCAAAAUUUUAGCCGGGAAUUUUGCCACUUCUUAUUUUUAUGUGGUUGAAAUUCCACUCAGAGGUGUCAUGCCAGUUUUGUUUGGCAGUUUUUACUUGUGGAAAGAAGUGGAAGUACACUUAAAGUACUCAUACACACAAUUGCCAUUAACUGUAUAAACAACGGCUCAUUAAGUCAAAGGAAGCUUGAAGAAACUAGACAUAUACACACUAUGAUUUUCCCCCUUACAUUUAUUGAAGGAACUGUAGAUAUCUUCUCUCCCACCUCUUCCUCCCUCAUACUGCUUCUAAACUCUCCGCAGCUAAUGCCAAAAAAGCAGGAUAGACUAUGAAGAUCUUGGAUGUAUUCAGGCAUGAAAGAAGGAUUUUCAUUGCUUCCUUCAGGAUGCUGCUUUUUUUUCCACUUGAAGAGAUCUGCAAGAUAAAUUCACAGGAGAGGUUCUGAGGUUUGAGGAGCAAUAACUUAGCAAGGAAUGACAAAAGCCCUUUGUAUCAUUAUAUGAUCCAUAGCAUUAGCUAGAUAACAACUGGAAAAAAGCAAGGAAGUGAUUGGGGUAGGUACGCAAACAGAAAAUUUAACAGAGCCUUGCAUGUUCAUUUGGAUAUUCCCAAAGGGUAAUUGCUUGUGUUGUAAAUGAGGGUCAGUAAAUUAGUUUUACAGAAAUUGAAUAUAUUCUGAAUAACUCAAGGGCAUUGUGCUCUACCUUCUGGCUUUUCUAACUUACUCGUUGCGUUUGUGUUAUUUUACUUUUUAAAAUAGUUUGGGGAAUUACAUUUUAGAAAUGACUGGGGUUUCUACCUUUGCCAUGUGGAAACAAAAGAAAUAGGUUUGCUAUUAAAAGUCAGUGAAAUCAAAGAACAUUGACUGAAAAAUGAAAUACUUUAUCUCUGGAUGGCAGAGAAAUAAGCCUGAAGUAAGUAUUGAGUUGAAUAGCACAGUUUUGUCUGGUAUUUGUCUCCUAUACUUGUGUUCAUUAGUGGAGAUUUUUCAUCCUAGUUUUAUUACAUCCAACUGCUGCUAGUAAACUCAUUUUUUUCUACUUCAGCUGGGCAUUUUAUCCUGAUUUCAUUGCAAACUGAGAGACAGCAUGUAGAGAUAAGCUCAGUGGCUGAUUUUAAUUAACUAGGAAUUCAGAUAUAUUUUUGUAUUGGUAUUCUGUCCUUAAGUAUUAUCUACAAAAACAAAACUGAAAUCAUUUACGCAUUUCUAUUUAGCUGAUUUAUAUAAACAAGUUUCGUAAGCUGCAUGUCAUUUCCUCAUUCCUGAAUUCUGGCUUAUUUUCUCAUGAAGAUGUUCACAAAGUGAUUGGGAUGCACUGAUGUUAUGUUACCAGUCAUUAAACAAGAAGUUCAGAAUGCUGCAUAAUUUUGAGGUUUGCAGUAAAGAAAUUGGAAUAAAAAUUUUGAAAUUUGGCACCUUAUAUGUGACCUCUCAUUUCAUAACUGGCAAUUUACUGGGGCUAUAAUCUGAAGUUAGAUGUGGCCUUGAGCAAUGGGUGAGGCAGGAAGCACUGUGGUUGUGAGACACAAUUAAUUCACUGUUCCCUCUUUGCCCUGCUGGCAGCAAAUAGCUUCAGACUAUGCCAGUGUCCCAGCACAGCAAGCCAUAGAAGAAACUGAAAUGUGUUCAUGAUCCAAUCCUUCUUGCUGAAAAGGUUGGUAAAUGCUGCACCCCUUUCCUCUCUCACAACACUCACUUUCAUGGAUAAGGACCCAGCUGGUGGAUUCUUAUUCCAUUAUUAAGUCUAUCAACAAGCUGCCGCAUCUUUAGGGUGGCAGUUAAGGUGAUGAUCAUUUAGCCCCUAGAAAGUAUACUGAAGCUUCUUGUUUUUUUAAGACAGAAGACAAAUCCAUAUUUAUGGUUGAUCAUCAUAUCUCUUAACAACAGCUUAAGUAUUUGACUUGUUCAGUUAGAUGAUUAGAUAAAUCGUGUCAUUAAUAUUACUCUGUUAUUUCAUUCACUGUAAUGAAUAUCAGUUUUACAAUGGAGUGAUUAAGAAGAGGUGGAGAAGAAGAGGGAGAGAUGAAGAACGUGGUUCUUCAAAGAGUCUCUAAGUUCUGAAAUCCUUUUUUGUGCUGACUGGAAAAAGCAUACGGCUUUGAUAAUUUGACUUAGAUAUUCAGCCAAGAUACUAUACCAUACUGAAGCUCAAGGCACCUCUUUUAGAAGCCUGAGCUUUCCGAUUCUUUUGGACAUGAACAGGGAGAGCUCUAGGAAGCUGCCUGUCAUUCUGAUGGUGUAUGUAAUUGUUACCAUUUGAAAAUUUAGGCAAUCAGCUGUAGGCAGUCUUGGUCUUCAGUUCAUGUUACAUGCUAUCUUUCAUGUGUAGAUCAUGUGUAAAACACAGUUUCUGAAUAAGUGUUUCUUAAGAAGAAAAUAUUUUGGAUACAGAUGACUUAUAGUAAGUGCAACAUAUUUAGUUAUUCAGGUGCAGAGACUAGAAUAACCAUUUUAAACACUGUAUAAUGCACUUGGCCUGUGAUUGAUGCAGCCUUAACCUCUAUGUGACUGUGGUGGUAGCAGU